AUAUAUAUACACUGUAUAAUAUAUAUAUAUAUUUGAUUUUUGAGGAUUCAACUCUCUGUUGUCGGUGAAAAAUCUUCUUUUGGAUUCAACCAGCAGACUGUCGAUGGCAUGAUUUUGCCUAAAAAAAUUUAAAGCAAAAUAAAUUGGUCCAUUCUGUUUCUACAGUCAAUUUUUGGGUGUCCUUUCAUGCGUGAGGUCCUUGCAGGUGUCCACAUGUAGUGUCAAGACACCUAGCCUACAUUCCUGUAUAUUCAUGUGUUUAGAGGCUUAAAACAUUGAUCUCACUUCUAGCAUGAUAUUAAAGCAUUGAUCUUUGGUUUUUAGGCACUCACUUUCUAAAGAUAUGUCUACUCCCCAGAUGGUCUUUCUUUUGUGGAGCAGUAAAGGUUGUUUUGCGAGUAUUUUCCCUGGAGAAUUGAAAUGAUGCCUUUGCAGCAAGAAGCAGAUAAUUAUGUACUUUCAUAAAAUUCAUUUUAUUAUUUUGGGCCACACAGCUGUGAUACAAAGUUUUGUACGCCUCGGGUUUCCCGACUUGUUUCUUUGCGGGUUAGCUUUCUUCAAGACAAAGUGUUCUAAAAGCCAUGCUUAGCACAGUGAAGGAGAGAAGCUCAGAAGCGGACGCUGUUUUUAUUGGUUCGGCUAUUGAAAUUCAUUCCUUUUGUGUGUCAAAUUGCUUCAAGAUUCAGCAGCCCAAAAAUUUCGCAAGCAAAUGAUUUUCAGGUUCGAAAUCCUUUUCAAAUUUUUCAAAAAAACCUCUUGCGUAUUUUGCAGGUUGCCUUCGUUUGACUUGUGAAGAUGUCCGAUGAUCAUCCCUAUCAUACGAGCUAGUUUAGGACAUGCUUGUUGGCACAAGGAGGGGAAGUGGGUAAAGGUAAAGUGUUAUGACACUUUUAUUUUAAGCCCACAAAACUGCAAAGAACAGUUAAUGGUAGAAAGAGUCAAAUGGUACUGUUAAGCAUCAUCAUCCUGAAAACUACUUUAAAUGCUGAGCCACUGCCUAAAAGUUGCAUUUUGUUCCUGGCUAGCAAAAUCUGAAGCUGUUUUGGCACAUCUUGGGUUCGACAUCAUGUCUCCAAAGAGCAACUCUUCUUAAAAGAUGCUGAGUUGGAAUCUUUUUCUAAGGAUUCUUGUGAUUCCAGAGAAAUCCUAUUCUAUUUGUUGUAGUGCUUUUCCUUUCUUUCUGGAUGAGAU